AGUGGCGAACGGGUGAGUAACACGUGGGCAAUCUGCCCUUCACUCUGGGACAAGCCCUGGAAACGGGGUCUAAUACCGGAUAAUACCUGCCUGGGCAUCUGGGUGGGUUGAAAGCUCCGGCGGUGAAGGAUGAGCCCGCGGCCUAUCAGCUUGUUGGUGAGGUAGUGGCUCACCAAGGCGACGACGGGUAGCCGGCCUGAGAGGGCGACCGGCCACACUGGGACUGAGACACGGCCCAGACUCCUACGGGAGGCAGCAGUGGGGAAUAUUGCACAAUGGGCGAAAGCCUGAUGCAGCGACGCCGCGUGAGGGAUGACGGCCUUCGGGUUGUAAACCUCUUUCAGCAGGGAAGAAGCGAGAGUGACGGUACCUGCAGAAGAAGCGCCGGCUAACUACGUGCCAGCAGCCGCGGUAAUACGUAGGGCGCAAGCGUUGUCCGGAAUUAUUGGGCGUAAAGAGCUCGUAGGCGGCUUGUCACGUCGGGUGUGAAAGCCCGGGGCUUAACCCCGGGUCUGCAUUCGAUACGGGCUAGCUAGAGUGUGGUAGGGGAGAUCGGAAUUCCUGGUGUAGCGGUGAAAUGCGCAGAUAUCAGGAGGAACACCGGUGGCGAAGGCGGAUCUCUGGGCCAUUACUGACGCUGAGGAGCGAAAGCGUGGGGAGCGAACAGGAUUAGAUACCCU
rnacentral:rRNA from 1 species